GCAACUCGCCUACAUGAAGCGGAAUUGCUAGUAAUCGCGGAUCAGCAUGCCGCGGUGAAUACGUUCCCGGGCCUUGUACACACCGCCCGUCACACCAUGAGAGCCGGUAACACCCGAAGUCAGUAGCCUAACCGCAAGGGGGGGCGCUGCCGAAGGUGGGAUUGGUAAUUGGGGUGAAGUCGUAACAAGGUACC
rnacentral:rRNA from 1 species